GAUGAACGCUAGCGGCAGGCCUAAUACAUGCAAGUCGAACGGUGUCUUCGGACAUAGUGGCGCACGGGUGCGUAACACGUAUGCAACCUACCUUACAUUGGGGGAUAGCCUUUCGAAAGGGAGAUUAAUACCGCAUAAGACAGUAGCUGGGCAUCCAGCAGCUGUUAAAGAUUUAUCGAUGUAAGCUGGGCAUGCGUCCAAUUAGCUAGUUGGUGAGGUAACGGGCAACAAAGGCAAUGAUUGGUAGGGGAACUGAGAGUUCAAUCCCCCAAAAUGGCACUGAGCAACGGGCCAGACUCCUACGGGUGGCAGCAGUAGGGAAUAUUGGGCAAUGGACGCAAGUCUGACCCAGCCAUGCCGCGUGCAGGAUGAAGGCGUUAUGCGUUGUAAACUGCUUUUAUACAGGAAGAAACGACUCUUGCGAGAGGCAUUGACGGUACUGUAUGAAUAAGCACCGGCUAACUCCGUGCCAGCCGCCGCGGUAACAC
rnacentral:rRNA from 1 species